AUAUUAAGAGGCUUAAAAUUGAAUCAUUUUGGUAUGAUUUGAGCGUACUUAAAAAAAAAUUUCUUUAUUGCGCUUGGUGAAUAUCGAACGUUUUAUUAGGAUGACCAUUGAUCAUGGUUUUAUGCCUAUAAUCAUCUUUGAUUUCGACCUCAAAUCAGGUAGGAAUACCCGCUGAACUUAA
rnacentral:misc_RNA from 1 species